rnacentral:rRNA from 1 species
CCUACGGGAGGCUGCAGUGGGGAAUAUUGCACAAUGGGCGCAAGCCUGAUGCAGCCAUGCCGCGUGUGUGAAGAAGGCCUUCGGGUUGUAAAGCACUUUCAGCGGGGAGGAAGGCGGUGAGGUUAAUAACCUCAUCGAUUGACGUUACCCGCAGAAGAAGCACCGGCUAACUCCGUGCCAGCAGCCGCGGUAAUACGGAGGGUGCAAGCGUUAAUCGGAAUUACUGGGCGUAAAGCGCACGCAGGCGGUCUGUCAAGUCGGAUGUGAAAUCCCCGGGCUCAACCUGGGACUGCAUUCGAAACUGGCAGGCUAGAGUCUUGUAGAGGGGGGUAGAAUUCCAGGUGUAGCGGUGAAAUGCGUAGAGAUCUGGAGGAAUACCGGUGGCGAAGGCGGCCCCCUGGACAAAGACUGACGCUCAGGUGCGAAAGCGUGGGGAGCAAACAGGAUUAGAUACCCCGGUAGUC